UGCAUCUCAUUCCACUACGUACAUUUAUUCAUCUCAAUGUCACAGCUCACUGUCUCGGCGUCACAGCUCACU